CAGUUACUAAUCAUGUAAAGAAGCAACGUUUACAGGUAGAAGGUCGAAAUCGCACGUUGCGCACGAAACCAUCAUGCAAAAUGGACGGUGCAAGUAUCUCGCAGCAGGUUGAACAAAGGAUCUUGUAAUUAGCAAAAAUCUGACAACAAUUCGGCGGACGUGCCAAAUGGCAAUCAUGAUUCUCUUUCGACUGGAAGGGCAGUUGCUUUAUUGAGGGUUAAGCGUUGACAUUAGCCGGUCUGGUUCUAGAGAACUUGCGAAAUCCAACCUCAGUUACUAUGUGAUCAUUCCUGACGGAGGGCUUGGAGACUAGGCACGUCCGAUCAGCAGUCAAAAGAACUUCCAAAACUCGACCUGAAUGACGUUCCGUGCCACGUCAUGGGGCCGAGAACUAGAAAGCCUCUCGAGUUGACCUUUUGAAGGCCUUAGACUGAGACCUGGUAUAGCUCACACCUUUAGCUAGACCCACAAAAGAUGGAUCGACUACAGUUGCACAGAUAACAACAUUUCAUACUUGCAAAAUAAAAAUGUCAUAGUUUUUACACAUUCAUGUUCUUCCGACUGUACUUUACAAGGGUUAGAAUUUCCCGAGGAUAGGUCUAACCUAAAAUGCCAUGUCAGGAAAGCAGAGACUACGAUUUCUGUGCCGUUUCAGACAAAAGAUUUUCAUCCUGUACAUAGAUAGAGAGACUACUGAACUGAAAUCGUUCUCUAAAACAAAAUAAUUUGCAGAAACUCCAUAGAAACUACUUCAGCACGUACAGCAACCACAAGCACCCCUGCAAGCAACACAAGAUACAAAAAACGGUCACAUGUAAGGCAGGUUUCAACCGAGGUAAGACAUAUAUGCACAAUAUAAGUGUUUGUCAUAGAUGUCAGCCGCACACCGAAAAGGAGAAGCAAAGAGAAACAAAACUAUCUAUGUGGCAACUCUGAACGUCCCAUGAUCCCUAGAGCUCACAUGACGCUAUCUACGGCAGUACUGGCUUAAUAGGACUGGAGUUGCCGUACUUAUGGGCAUGCUAAACUAGAACACCCAGAAAAGCAUACUAGACAGUGAAUUGAAAAAUGGUCUGAUCUAAAAAGAUUCGGUAGAUGUCGUUUACACAUUCAACAAAGGAACUUCAAGGAACCAGGUAGUAAGUGGAAUAAUAUCAUCGAAGCUCCUUCAGAUCAUAUACCCUUGAGGAAACAAAUAUGCUGUUUUAGACAAA